GACGAACGCUGGCGGCGUGCUUAACACAUGCAAGUCGAACGGAAAGGCCCUGCUUUUGUGGGGUGCUCGAGUGGCGAACGGGUGAGUAACACGUGAGUAACCUUCCCUUGACUUUGGGAUAACUUCAGGAAACUGGGGCUAAUACCUGAUAGGAGCUCCUGCUGCAUGGUGGGGGUUGGAAAGUUUCGGCUGUUGGGGAUGGACUGGCGGCUUAUCAGCUUGUUGGUGGGGUAGUGGCUUACCAAGGCUUUGACGGGUAGCCGGCCUGAGAGGGUGACCGGCCACAUUGGGACUGAGAUACGGCCCAGAGUCCUACGGGAGGCAGCAGUGGGGAAGAUUGCACAAUGGGCGGAAGCCUGAUGCAGCAACGCCGCGUGCGGGAUGACGGCCUUCGGGUUGUAAACCGCUUUCGCCUGUGACGAAGCGUGAGUGACGGUAAUGGGUAAAGAAGCACCGGCUAACUACGUG
rnacentral:rRNA from 1 species